ensembl:ncRNA lncRNA:CR32652 long non-coding RNA:CR32652
CAGAGCUCGUCUGGAGCACAACUCGUUUCGGAAAAAUACAAAUUUCAAAAAGCACACAAAAUUCAUAGUAAAGCGACGGAAAUUUAUUGGUUAGCUUUCCGUGUUAUAAACAUCAACACAAACACAUACAGAUAGUGCAGGACAAACAGAUAUAAGACAAAUAAAUACUGGAUACAUACACGAAAUCCGUGCAGUUGGAGAUACAAACAACUAGCUGCCGCUACCGCAGUUAUAAAAUAAUCACAUGUGCCAUCACAUCUACUGGAUUCCCAUCCCAUCCCAAAUUAUUUAAUGCGCUUAUCCAAAAUGCAAACUAAUGAUGAUCGUUCCGCCUACACUGCCUUAAUUAAGUCUGAACAAGCUAGGAUAGUUGAAAUGGUGUUCAAUUCGAUGGUACCAGUCCCGUUGGACGAGAGGAUUGCAUCGUUUUGGAUACAAAUGUUGCGCUUACAAUCAAUGCAAGCCAUAGAAGCCUACUCUUCAUACACUAUGUUAAUAAGCCAUCUUAUGAUCAGUUGGUUUAUCUCAAAUGCAAACUACUAAAGAUCGUUCCGCCUACACUGCCUUAAUUAACAGUCUGAACAAGCAAGGAUAGAUGAAAUGGUUUUCAAUUCGAUGGCACCGGUCCCGUUGGACGAGAGGAUUGCAUCGGUUUGGAUAUAAAUGUUGCUCUAAUAUUCAAUGCUAACAUUUUGCUGCCUUUCCCUCAUCCCAUACCUUACUGGAUCGCAUCGCCUGCCUAGGAUCAGUUGGAUUGGCUGAAAUCGAUCUUGUUUAACUGUACUAUCAUGUGAAAUUGCAAUAAUCAUACUGCACACUUCCGGUCCCAAAUGCUCAACAUUCACAUUUCGCUUGUUUUUGUCUUAAUAAACGGAGUUCAACGAACGU